rnacentral:rRNA from 1 species
UACGUAGGGUGCAAGCGUUUAAUCGGAAUUACUGGGCGUAAAGCGCACGUAGGCGGAUAUUUAAGUCAGGGGUGAAAUCCCAGAGCUCAACUCUGGAACUGCCUUUGAUACUGGGUAUCUUGAGUAUGGAAGAGGUAAGUGGAAUUGCGAGUGUAGAGGUGAAAUUCGUAGAUAUUCGCAGGAACACCAGUGGCGAAGGCGGCUUACUGGUCCAUAACUGACGCUGAGGUGCGAAAGCGUGGGGAGCAAACAGG